rnacentral:rRNA from 1 species
GAUGAACGCUGGCGGCGUGCUUAACACAUGCAAGUCGAACGGGAAACUUUUCAUUGAAGCUUCGGCAGAUUUGGUCUGUUUCUAGUGGCGGACGGGUGAGUAACGCGUGGGUAACCUGCCUUAUACAGGGGGAUAACAACCAGACAUGGUUGCUAAUACCGCAUAAGCGCACAGGACCGCAUGGUCCGGUGUGAAAAACUCCGGUGGUAUAAGAUGGACCCGCGUUGGAUUAGCUAGUUGGCAGGGUAACGGCCUACCAAGGCGACGAUCCAUAGCCGGCCUGAGAGGGUGAACGGCCACAUUGGGACUGAGACACGGCCCAGACUCCUACGGGAGGCAGCAGUGGGGAAUAUUGCACAAUGGGGGAAACCCUGAUGCAGCGACGCCGCGUGAAGGAAGAAGUAUCUCGGUAUGUAAACUUCUAUCAGCAGGGAAGAUAGUGACGGUACCUGACGAAGAAGCCCCGGCUAACUACGUG